UUUUUUUUAUCCUUGAAGAGCCGCAGUGAAUAGGCCCAAGCGACUGUUUAUCAAAAACACAGGUCUCUGCUAAACCGUAAGGUGAUGUAUAGGGGCUGACGCCUGCCCGGUGCUGGAAGGUUAAGAGGAGUGGUUAGCUUCUGCGAAGCUACGAAUCGAAGCCCCAGUAAACGGCGGCCGUAACUAUAACGGUCCUAAGGUAGCGAAAUUCCUUGUCGGGUAAGUUCCGACCCGCACGAAAGGCGUAACGAUUUGGGCACUGUCUCAACGAGAGACUCGGUGAAAUCAUAGUACCUGUGAAGAUGCAGGUUACCCGCGACAGGACGGAAAGACCCCGUGGAGCUUUACUGUAGCCUGAUAUUGAAAUUUGGCACAGCUUGUACAGGAUAGGUAGGAGCCUUUGAAACGUGAGCGCUAGCUUACGUGGAGGCGCUGGUGGGAUACUACCCUGGCUGUGUUGACUUUCUAACCCGCACCAUUUGAUCAUGGUGGGAGACAGUGUCAGGCGGGCAGUUUGACUGGGGCGGUCGCCUCCUAAAGAGUAACGGAGGCGCUCAAAGGUUCCCUCAGAAUGGUUGGAAAUCAUUCGCAGAGUGUAAAGGCACAAGGGAGCUUGACUGCGAGACCUACAAGUCGAGCAGGGUCGAAAGACGGACUUAGUGAUCCGGUGGUUCCGCAUGGAAGGGCCAUCGCUCAACGGAUAAAAGCUACCCCGGGGAUAACAGGCUUAUCUCCCCCAAGAGUUCACAUCGACGGGGAGGUUUGGCACCUCGAUGUCGGCUCAUCGCAUCCUGGGGCUGUAGUCGGUCCCAAGGGUUGGGCUGUUCGCCCAUUAAAGCGGUACGCGAGCUGGGUUCAGAACGUCGUGAGACAGUUCGGUCCCUAUCCGUCGUGGGCGUAGGAAAUUUGAGAGGAGCUGUCCUUAGUACGAGAGGACCGGGAUGGACAUACCUCUGGUGUACCAGUUGUCGCGCCAGCGGCAUAGCUGGGUAGCUAUGUAUGGACGGGAUAAGUGCUGAAAGCAUCUAAGCAUGAAGCCCCCCUCAAGAUGAGAUUUCCCAACUUCGGUUAUAAGAUCCCUCAAAGAUGAUGAGGUUAAUAGGUUCGGGGUGUAAGCGCAGUAAUGUGUGUAGCUGACGAAUACUAAUCGAUCGAAGA
rnacentral:rRNA from 1 species